AACGUAGGUGGCGAGCGUUAUCCGGAUUUACUGGGCGUAAAGCGUGUGCAGGCGGGAUACCAAGUGGUGUAUGAAAGCACUGCGCUCAACGCAGUGACGGUAGGCCAGACUGGUAUUCUGGAGGGCGAGAGAGGGGCGUGGAAUUCCGGGUGUAGUGGUGAAAUGCGUAGAGAUCCGGAAGAACACCGGUGGCGAAGGCGGCCCGCUGGGCAGGAAGGAAGCGUAAGCUUCCGGCUGGACGCUGAGGCGCGACAGCGUGGGGAGCAAACAGG
rnacentral:rRNA from 1 species